UACGUAGGGUGCAAGCGUUAAUCGGAAUUACUGGGCGUAAAGGGCGCGUAGGCGGCAAUUCAAGUCAUCUGUGAAAUCUCCGGGCUUAACCCGGAACGGUCAGAUGAUACUGCUUUGCUAGAGUGCGGAAGGGGCAAUCGGAAUUCUUGGUGUAGCGGUGAAAUGCGUAGAUAUCAAGAGGAACACCUGAGGUGAAGACGGGUUGCUGGGCCGACACUGACGCUGACAGCGCGAAAGCCAGGGGAGCAAACGGG
rnacentral:rRNA from 1 species